rnacentral:lncRNA from 1 species
UCAAAUAGUCUUCUACAAUUAUAAGUAAAAUCCAGUAGCUCAAUCCAAACAUGAGAAUUCAAAUAAUUAGAAUUCUCCCAUCAAUAUGCAUACUCUAUGGCCUCAAAAUAAUCAAAUACAUCCAUAGGAAAUAGACCUAUUUGCAAUAUCCAACAUGCCAACACCAGAUAUAAUCCACAUACAUUUUCAACUUCGAAAAACGUUCCUUUCAAUAUUAUGAAAUCUCCUUAGCUCACUCCAAUGCUAUGGAAGACCUGCGUACUAAUCUCACUCUAAUAAUUAGUAGCAAAAUCAAAAGUACAAUCACAUCAAAACCCAUAUCAAGUUUGAAUUUCCAAGUGAUUUAAAUAAUAUCUGAACAUGGUACGACCGAUAUGCCAUUGUUGACCUACACUUAUCUUAGGUCAAACCUCUCUUAUCAUGAUCACAGACAAUUUAUACUUUUCUUCUACACUCAUCGAAAACCAAAUUCGAUGCAUACAUUUUAUCACAAUGCCCAGUGAUCUUACAGCUUAAGCACUGAAUUUAAUUGUCAUAUCCAAAGUGAUCAUAACCUUAAGCUAUGAUAUAUUUCUGUCACGAUCCCUAUUGAUCUUAAACAUAUGCUCAGAUUCCAACUGGUCAUAUUUUCCAAUAAUCUUAAACCUCAAACUUUAAUGCCACUAAGGCCUCCACGGGCUUUUGUUGGAAUAAUUAUGUUUAUGGAAUUAUUGGAAGUGUGGUGUUGUUUGUCUGAGUCCCCUGAUCAAAACCUCCUAGCUCCGCCGACUCUUCCUCUACAACAUCAAUUAUAUUUCACAAACUAAAUUAUUCAAUAUUUAAAUAUUCUAAACCAUAAUUCUCAUCUGUUAUGAGGUCCAUCAUCAGGUCCCCAAACAUCUCAAUCCUCCCAGAUCUAGGGCAGUCGGGAUAGUCCGACUCCCAUCUUGUACCACCGGCCUACGUCGUCGCCAGCCGUGGCCGCUGCCACGCCGGCGAUGAUGGCCGGUCCCGGUAAAGAGACCAACAUAAAGGAAUGAUUCCUCUCUCUUCAUGGUUG